rnacentral:rRNA from 1 species
CCCUUAGAUGUCCGGGGCCGCACGCGCGCUACACUGAAGGAAUCAGCGUGGCUUUCUCCCUGACCCGAAAGGGUUGGGAAACCCGUUGAAUCUCCUUCGUGAUAGGGAUUGGGGCUUGAAAUUGUUCCCGAUGAACGAGGAAUUCCCAGUAAGCGCGAGUCAUAAGCUCGCGUUGAUUACGUCCCUGCCCUUUGUACACACCGCCCGUCGCUACUACCGAUUGAACGGUUUAGUGAGGGCCUCGGAUUGGUCUCGGCCCGCUCUUUACCGGGCGGCGCCGUUGGUCGAGAAGACGCUCGAACUUGAUCGUUUAGAGGAAGUAAAAGUCGUAACA